AAGAGUUAUGGGGCCAAUUCUCUAAAUUUAUCUGCAAAAGAAAUGGAAUUGAUUUCCUGAGAGAAGAUGAGAAAAUGUCACUUCCCUUUAUGAUUAGGUGGCCCAUUUCAAGAAGACAGAUUUGGCCAUGAGAGCCAGCUCUUCAACCUCGCUCCUACAUGUUUGUGCCAUAUUCCCAUGUAAUUUUUUUGGCAUGACAAAAUACUCCAUGCUCUUUUUGAAUCUAUUCUAACUCUAACUGUAGAAUAAACCAUUUUCUCAAGGAGCUGAGGUUCCCGUUUGCUAGCACCUUUUACUUAAGAGACCAACAAUUUCCCACUGAUCUCUGUUUUAAAGGAAGAUUGCAUAUACAGGUGGAAAUGAGGCCCAUCAUUCAUUCUGAGCACAAUACCCAGCCUGAGUCAUAAAGUCCUUACUCUCCUCUUUGUUCAGAGAAAAACCUACUCAAUACAGUCUCCUGCUGUUGCUUGACAGAACCUGGCUAGUAUUCGGAGGGAACAGAUCUUCUUGAUCUGUGAUUAUCCUACAUACCACAGAAUUGCUGGUCUGCAGCACUAGAGUUCAGUAAUAAUCCCAACCAUGGUGAUAAUCAAAAUACCAUUACAAAAGAUAUUCCUGAACUCCCCCCCUGGACAAUGACACUGACCUCCAUGAGAACCAUCAGGUCUAUCUCCAACCCAGACCCAAGACUUGCUUUACAACUGCAUGAAGUCCCUGCUCAAUUCCAUCCAGGAGCAGGUUCUCUGUAUGUUCUUGAUAUGAGAUGACCGAAGAAUGGGUGGCAGAUCUGAGAGAUGGACAUGUUUUACCUCCAGAAAGUCAUCAAACAUCUGAAUCACAGGUGCUUUUUACAUCUUUGGAUCCCCCACCACACGCAACCAAUGACAAGCGGUUGGUUUAAUUUUAAAGAAGAAUUUCUUUGGA